rnacentral:rRNA from 1 species
CGAGUACGAGAUGCUACGGCAUCGACCAGUCUAUGUCAUACUUCCAAGAAAAGCUCGCACUGUCAAAAACAAAUUAAUGCCUGUACCAUAACCGACACAGGUGGGUAGGUAGAGUAUACUAAGGGGCGCGAGAUAACUCUCUCUAAGGAACUCGGCAAAAUAACUCCGUAACUUCGGGAGAAGGAGUGCCUUUUUAAGGCUGCAAUAACCAGAUCCAAGCAACUGUUUAUCAAAAACACAGGUCUCCGCUAAGUCGUAAGACGAUGUAUGGGGGCUGACGCCUGCCCAGUGCCAGAAGGUUAAAGAAGUUGGUUAGCCCUGCGAAGCUGAUGACUGAAGCCCUGGUGAACGGCGGCCGUAACUAUAACGGUCCUAAGGUAGCGAAAUUCCUUGUCGGGUAAGUUCCGACCCGCACGAAAGGCGUAAUGAUUUGGAUACUGUCUCGGAGAGGGACUCGGUGAAAUAGACUUGUCUGUGAAGAUGCGGACUACCUGCACCAGGACAGAAAGACCCUAUGAAGCUUUACUGUAACUUGAGAUUGAAAUUGGACUUUAUUCGCGCAGUAUAGGUGGGAGGCUUUGAAAGUAUUCUUGCGGGAAUAGUGGAGCCAUCAGUGAGAUACCACUCUUGUAAUGUUAGAUUUCUAACUUUGUAUCAUUAUCUGGUCAAAGAACAGUCUCAGGCGGGCAGUUUGACUGGGGCGGUCGCCUCCCAAACGGUAACGGAGGCGCACAAAGGUUUCCUCUGAACGGGUAGAAAUCGUAUCUAGAGUGUAAAGGCAUAAGGAAGCUUGACUGUGAGACCUACAAGUCGAGCAGGGACGAAAGUCGGUCUUAGUGAUCUGACGGUGCUGAGUGGAAAGGCCGUCACUCAACGGAUAAAAGUUACUCUAAGGAUAACAGGCUGAUCUCCCCCAAGAGUUCACAUCGACGGGGAGGUUUGGCACCUCGAUGUCGGCUCAUCGCAUCCUGGGGCGGUAGUACGUCCCAAGGGUUGGGCUGUUCGCCCAUGAAAGCGGUACGCGAGCUGGGUUCAGAACGUCGUGAGACAGUUCGGUCCAUAUCCGGUGUAGGCGUUAGAAUAUUGAGAGGAGCCUUCUUUAGUACGAGAGGACCGAGAAGGACAUACCUCUGGUGUACCAGUUAUCGUGCCAACGGUAAACGCUGGGUAGCUAUGUAUGGAGUGGAUAACCGCUGAAAGCAUCUAAGUGGGAAGCCCACCUCAAGAUAAG